rnacentral:rRNA from 1 species
CGGUGGAUGAUGUGGAUUAAUUCGAUGCAACGCGAAAACCUUACCUACCCUUGACAUGUCCGGAAUCCCGAAGAGAUUUGGGAGUGCUCGCAAGAGAGCCGGAACACAGGUGCUGCAUGGCUGUCGUCAGCUCGUGUCGUGAGAUGUUGGGUUAAGUCCCGCAACGAGCGCAACCCUUGUCAUUAGUUGCCAUCAUUUGGUUGGGCACUCUAAUGAGACUGCCGGUGACAAACCGGAGGAAGGUGGGGAUGACGUCAAGUCCUCAUGGCCCUUAUGGGUAGGGCUUCACACGUCAUACAAUGGCCGGUACAGAGGGUAGCCAACCCGCGAGGGGGAGCCAAUCCCACAAAGCCGGUCGUAGUCCGGAUCGCAGUCUGCAACUCGACUGCGUGAAGUCGGAAUCGCUAGUAAUCGCGGAUCAGCAUGUCGCGGUGAAUACGUUCCCGGGUCUU